rnacentral:rRNA from 1 species
UACGUAGGGGGCUAGCGUUGUCCGGAUUUAUUGGGCGUAAAGAGCGUGUAGGCGGCCAGGUAGGUCUGCUGUGAAAACUCGAGGCUUAACCUCGAGAUGUCGGCGGAAACCAUCUGGCUAGAGUCCGGAAGAGGAGAGUGGAAUUCCUGGUGUAGCGGUGGAAUGCGUAGAUAUCGGGAGGAACACCAGUGGCGAAGGCGGUUGCCUGGGGCUUUGCUGACGCUGAUGCGCGAAAGCGUGGGGAGCGAUCCGG